AGACCCGAAACCCGGUGAUCUAGCCAUGGGCAGGUUGAAGGUUGGGUAACACUAACUGGAGGACCGAACCGACUAAUGUUGAAAAAUUAGCGGAUGACCUGUGGCUGGGGGUGAAAGGCCAAUCAAACCGGGAGAUAGCUGGUUCUCCCCGAAAGCUAUUUAGGUAGCGCCUCGUGAAUUCAUCUCCGGGGGUAGAGCACUGUUUCGGCUAGGGGGCCAUCCCGGCUUACCAACCCGAUGCAAACUGCGAAUACCGGAGAAUGUUAUCACGGGAGACACACGGCGGGUGCUAACGUCCGUCGUGAAGAGGGAAACAACCCAGACCGCCAGCUAAGGUCCCAAAGUCAUGGUUAAGUGGGAAACGAUGUGGGAAGGCCCAGACAGCCAGGAUGUUGGCUUAGAAGCAGCCAUCAUUUAAAGAAAGCGUAAUAGCUCACUGGUCGAGUCGGCCUGCGCGGAAGAUGUAACGGGGCUAAACCAUGCACCGAAGCUGCGGCAGCGACACUGUGUGUUGUUGGGUAGGGGAGCGUUCUGUAAGCCUGUGAAGGUGUGUCGUGAGGCAUGCUGGAGGUAUCAGAAGU
rnacentral:rRNA from 1 species